rnacentral:rRNA from 1 species
GGAGGAAAGUAGGGGAUCGAAAGACCUUAUGCUUUUGGAGCGGCCGAUGUCUGAUUAGCUAGUUGGUGAGGUAAAGGCUUACCAAGGCAACGAUCAGUAGUUGGUCUGAGAGGACGACCAGCCACACUGGGACUGAGACACGGCCCAGACUCCUACGGGAGGCAGCAGUGGGGAAUUUUGGACAAUGGGCGAAAGCCUGAUCCAGCAAUGCCGCGUGAGUGAAGAAGGCCUUCGGGCUGUAAAGCUCUUUCAGUUGAGAAGAAAAGGCUGUGACUAAUAAUCACAGCUCAUGACGGUAUCGACAGAAGAAGCACCGGCUAACUACGUGCCAGCAGCCGCGGUAAUACGUAGGGUGCAAGCGUUAAUCGGAAUUACUGGGCGUAAAGGGUGCGCAGGCGGUUCUGUAAGUCAGAUGUGAAAUCCCCGGGCUUAACCUGGGAACUGCGUUUGAAACUACAAAGCUAG